GAUGAACGCUGGCGGUAUGCCUAACACAUGCAAGUCGAACGGAGUACUUCGGUACUAAGUGGCGGACGGGUGAGUAACGCGUGAGAAUCUGCCUUCUGGAUGGGGAUAACAGGGAGAAAUCGCUGCUAAUACCCAAUAUGCCUACGGGUGAAAUUUAUAUAGCCAGAAGAGGAGCUCGCGUCCGAUUAGUUAGUUGGUGGGGUAAGAGCCUACCAAGGCAGCGAUCGGUAGCUGGUCUGAGAGGAUGAGCAGCCACACUGGGACUGAGACACGGCCCAGACUCCUACGGGAGGCAGCAGUGGGGAAUUUUCCGCAAUGGGCGAAAGCCUGACGGAGCAAUACCGCGUGAGGGAGGAAGGCUUUUGGGUUGUAAACCUCUUUUAUCAAGGAAGAAGCAAGUGACGGUACUUGAAGAAUCAGCAUCGGCUAACUCCGUGCCAGCAGCCGCGGUAAUACGGAGGAUGCAAGCGUUAUCCGGAAUCAUUGGGCGUAAAGCGUCCGCAGGUGGUCAAUCAAGUCUGCUGUUAAAGACAGAAGCUCAACUUCUGAACAGCGGUGGAAACUGGUAGACUAGAGUACGGUAGGGGUUGAGGGAAUUCCCAGUGUAGCGGUGAAAUGCGUAGAUAUUGGGAAGAACACCAGUGGCGAAGGCGCUCAACUGGGCCGUAACUGACACUCAGGGACGAAAGCUAGGGUAGCGAAAGGGAUUAGAUACCCCUGUAGUCUUAGCUGUAAACGAUGAACACUAGGCGUUGCUUGUAUCGACCCGAGCAGUGCCGUAGCCAACGCGUUAAGUGUUCCGCCUGGGGAGUACGCACGCAAGUGUGAAACUCAAAGGAAUUGACGGGGGCCCGCACAAGCGGUGGAGUAUGUGGUUUAAUUCGAUGCAACGCGA
rnacentral:rRNA from 1 species